rnacentral:ncRNA from 1 species
AACUAGUUUGGCCAAGCGUUCAUAGCGACGUCGCUUUUUAAUCCUUUGAUGUUGGCUCUUUCUAUUAUUGUGAAGCGGAAUUCAUCAAGCGUUGGAUUGUUCACCCACUAACGGGGAAAGUGAGUUAAAUUUAGACCACCGUGAGACAGGUU